AAAUAUGGAAAUAGACCAAGACCAUCCCAGUGAGAAUAAGCGAAGCCUAUUUAUUCAGAGCUUGUUAUUGUAAGACAGUCAGACUCCAUCACUUGAAUUGGCCAAGACUCAAAGGCAGGCAGAUGAGCGGGAAUACUUGAUAGUGGGAAAACAACAACAAACAAAAGAACCCCAGGAAGGCAUCAGCUGUGCCCUGAUCAAGGGUGUCAACAUGGGGAAGCCAGAGGUGAGCUAAUGAGCAAUGGGGCAGCUUAUGUGAUAGGCUAUGCUGGCCUCUUUGGCUUUCUCCACUUAUUCUCAAGUUGGAAGAAGAGGCAAAAAUUAGGAAAGCUGUCGAUUAUUGAUCAAGUCCUGGAUGUUUGUGGUCAGUGGCUGCAGAGGUUGUGGUUUGGCGUCCUGGGCUGGUUACUGUAAGUUGUGGGUUAGAGUUCUAUCUUUCUACAUGGUCUGGUCAUUAUCCAUUAGAAUUUUCAGUCUCUCAGCUUCAGCUCAAUGCAAAUUUGCUACCUUAAGGUCUCUCCCUGCAUCUUCUGCAGUUUUCUUACAGCUCACACCUUUCAUUUGCAUACCCUCCUCUUUGUCCAGUAAUGUCGCUGCUUUCUCUCUGGCCUCAUCUCCGCAUUAGGCUGCUGUUUAUCUCAAAUGUCUGGGGGCUCCCACAACAGCCAAUACUAUCUCACUGUUCCCCAAAUGGGGAGGGUACCCAGGCACUAGUCAGUCUCCAAUCUCUAGUCCUAGCCUUCCUCCUCAUUUAACACCCAAGAUUUCCCUCUCAACAUCUAUCUUCCUUCAUACCUUCUCCACUGGUAUCCCCUCUGCCAAAUUCUUACAUCCCUGCUAUGCAUGGAAUUUCCAUUGCAUUUUUGUUUUUGUUUUUAUGGCUGAGAGAUGUGGCAUAUGGAAGUUCCUAGGCUAUGGGUUGUAUUGGAGCUGCAGCUGCUGGGCCUGCACCACAGCUACAGCAACACCUGAUCUGAGCUGCAUCUGGGACCUACAUCACAGCUUGCAGCAAUGCCAGAUCUUUAACCCACUGAGUGAGGCCAGGGAUCGAACCUGCAUCCUCAUGGAUAUUAUGUCAGGUUCUUAACGCACUGAGCCACAGGGGAACUCCCUUCAUUGUUUCUUUGCUGGGACUACAGCAGCUUUGGGUCUCUUCAUAAUGUUCCUGAAACUAAUAGCAUUUAUGACUUGAACCUAGCUAGAACCCAGAUUGGGACUUGAACCCAUGGUUUUUAAAUUAGAAUCACUUACCUUCUGUCUGGACUUACUGAGGUUUGGGUGCCUUGUGUCUCAGCACAGAAGGAAUUCAGAGAAAGAGAAAGUGAUAGGCAAGAAAUAGAUUUAUUAAGAAAAGAUGCUUGUGAGAGAUGCAAGCGGGUAGGCAAGGAGGCUCUGCCCCCAAGAUUAGAUAGGCAACAUUUUUUAUAAUCCAAAGGAAACGGGGGUGGGAAAAGACCGCCUCUUCCUCUUUUACCAGUAGUAGCUCCUCACUGGUAUCUUAUAAGGUCAAAUUAGGACUGUCAAGGUGCUUAUCCAAAUCAGCAGGCGGUUGGUCCUUAAACUCCUGCCCUUGGUCUGACCCUGAAUGUAGGCUUCACCCCGUCCCCCACCCAAUGACCUGAGGCCUAUCUCAUGCCUCCAUUAAUCAAGCAAGCCUGCCUCAUUCUGAUGGCCCUCCCAAGUGAUCACCAACCUACAGUGAUCUCCCAAAGCUCCCCAGGCUCCCCCCCUCCAUCCCUACAACCACAAUCACCACAACCACCCAAGCAACUAUCCUACUCCAUCCCUAUCAUUCUGACCACCCCACCAUGCUUGGCCUCUUCUCAUGCAAUCCCCCACUCCAUCUCUUGCUGCCAUCUCAGCAAACAUCACUGAGGAUCUCCAAAUUACAAGUAAUUCCAAGUUCUAACAAUUUGCUUCCCUGAUCCUCUCUUACCAGCAAAAAUAAAAGUUUCUCAUAAAAGAAACUAAGUUCCUUUGAAUUCUUGAGACUUGAUGGUCCUCCGUGAGAUAUUAGCAUAGCGAGCAGCCUUUUACUCACUCUUCCAUGACUUCCUUGGAAGAGACCCUCUUUCUCACAGUAAAAGAAUCUCUAUGCUGUUAGAAAGCAAAAGCUUUAAAAAAGAAAAGAAAACAAUACAAAAACAUGCCAGAAAGGCUUAAGUUUCCUCACAGCCUUCCUCACCCCCCAGGCUUAAAUGGCUUAUUGCCAUGGUUGGCCAAUUAACUGAGCAUGGCUUAGUCAUAAUUAUUCUGAUGUAAACUGUAUAUAUGCUGUUCCUUGUUCUCUUUAGGAUGUGAGGACAGCAAUGUAGUCUGAUAUAGUUUAUUUAUAGAGCUAAGUCAGUGCUGGCUCACCAGGAGCUCUUAAAUGCUAUUGAUAAAUAAUGCACCGAUGGAGCUCUGGUUUGGAACUGGAUUCAACCUGGAGUUCAAACACAUUCUCCCUCUGGUUAUAACCUCCUCAUAUGCUAGCAAAACGCAUCCGUGAAGUUCUCCAGGAGUGACUAGAGAGUGAGAAACAGCCCCAGAGAAAUAAAGUUUGUGCUUUCUGAGCUGUUGAGAAUCUCUGUCCUAGCAACAUCAAUUUUCAGCUUAAGAUGAGGCUUCUGUGGAAGGCACAGCCUGUGCCUUCUUUCAGCUGAUUUGGAAAUACAAAGACGGCUUCAUAAAGAGGCUGAUCAUGGCAUUGUGAGCACCAAGUGUGCAAUUUAUAGCUGGCAAUUCAGAAGGAGUGAUGUAUUAGGUCGACUAUGAGGAAGAUGCAGUAGUUCUUAUCCUUAAUGAGCUUAGAGUUUAAGGUCCAAUGAAACUACUGUCAAGUUCCAGAAACCUUAAAAAACUCCCAGAGUUCCUGCUGUGGUGCAGUGGGAUCAGUGGCAUCUUGGUAGAGCUGGAAUGCAGGUUUGAUCCCUGGCCUCACACAGUGGGUUAAGGAUCUGUUGUUGCCUCUGGUGUAACUAGGGCUUGGAUAUGAUCCCUUGCUGGGGAAUGGCAGGGCAGC
rnacentral:lncRNA from 1 species